AUGGUCUGGAACAAAAAACAAAACAAAACAAAACAAAACAAAACAAAACAAAACAUGUAUCUCAAUCCAAACCCACAGGGCAAUUUCCUGAGAAAUGGGCCAGAAUUAGCACUGCUGUGUCAUUCUGUGACCCAGUUUUUGCACAUUGUGGAAGCAGCUGUUCUUAGGGCUGAACUCAGAUCUAACAAGCUGACACCACAACACCACCUGUUGCAGAGCUCAGCUGAAGGCUGGAUAGUGAUCCACAUUAUAACAUGCUAAAUGUUUGAUACAGUCACUAACCUACAAGCUUUUCUCUUCAGCAUCUAAUGUAUGGGGAACCUGCUACAUAUCAUAUUGGGACAGCAGUUACACCAGACCCUGAGCAUAUGAAAUGGAGGCCAUCUGGACAUCUGGAUAAUGUUUCAUUGUGCAGCUGAAAAUUUGCAUUCAUUAUUUAAGGACUGUGAACAUCUCAGAGAGGUUGUUUGGCUGAAGUCAAUCAAUUCCUUAGAAAGAAGAAAUAUCCAAGUCUCCUGGAGUAGGGAUGGCAUAAACUGAGGCCAAAUUUGACUAUGUGAAUACAAAGCAGCCGUUCUUGUUUUACCAAGAAAAUUAUCCACUUUCCCGAUCUCUAUAUGCAUACCAAUUUUCUGAGUUAUCUUGCAUGUCUAUAAGUGCAGUUUAAAGUAUUUUAGAAUAUCAUUAAAUAACAGUAUGUAUUUCAACACAGAGCUAUGGUCAGAUCAGUUGUUUUUUCUUAUGAGUCCAUAAUAUGCAACCAGCCU
rnacentral:lncRNA from 1 species